UACGAAGGGGGCUAGCGUUGCUCGGAAUCACUGGGCGUAAAGGGUGCGUAGGCGGCGCGGUAAGUCGGGUGUGAAAUCUCGGAGCUUAACUCCGAAACUGCAUUCGAUACUGCCGUGCUUGAGGACUGGAGAGGAGACUGGAAUUUACGGUGUAGCGGUGAAAUGCGUAGAUAUCGUAAGGAAGACCAGCGGCGAAGGCGGGUCUCUGGACAGUUCCUGACGCUGAGGCACGAAGGCCAGGGGAGCAAACGGG
rnacentral:rRNA from 1 species